rnacentral:misc_RNA from 1 species
AAGUCGUAACAAGGUAACCGUAGGUGAACCUGCGGUUGGAUCAUUACCAAAUAUCCAAUGGGACUAGGGUGUGCGUUGAGUCUAGUAAUUUUGGUUGCUAGGCCCACGUCUCUCUUUUUCCCAUUUCCCACCUUUUGUGCAAUGUAAUGUAUUUGGCGGGCCAUGCUUAGUAAUUAUCGAGGUCGUUUCGGCCUAGUAAUUACCAAGAUCGCUUAUGAAGGCGGGCCUAUAUGGACCACCAUCAACCGUCAUGUUAACACACCUAAUAUUAUCUAUACCAACAAUCUGACGUUUAUAUGCUAGGGGACGCGUUUGCGCUCCCUGGAACAUAACCGAAAACAACUUUUGACAACGGAUCUCUUGGCUCUC